rnacentral:rRNA from 1 species
UACGAAGGGUGCAAGCGUUACUCGGAAUUACUGGGCGUAAAGCGUGCGUAGGUGGUUUGUUAAGUCUGCUGUGAAAUCCCCGGGCUCAACCUGGGAAUGGCAGUGGAUACUGGCAAGCUAGAGUGCGGUAGAGGGAUGUGGAAUUCCCGGUGUAGCGGUGAAAUGCGUAGAGAUCGGGAGGAACACCGGUGGCGAAGGCGGCGCUCUGGACCGAGACUGACGCUGAGGCGCGAAGGCGUGGGGAGCAAACAGG